rfam:Myotis brandtii contig158659, whole genome shotgun sequence.
GGCAGUUCUCAGGUGAUGCACCCUGGAAUCGGGCUCCUUCCUCUCUGGUUCCGGGUUCAGCACCCUAGAACCGCA